rnacentral:lncRNA from 1 species
UGGGAAUUGCAUGAAAAUUAAAAAUUGAGAGUUGAAUUUGACUGAUACAAGGUCUAAGACGCUUAGGUGUUGACAAAUUGGUAAGCGUACCAAAUCGUUCAAGUAAUAAUAAAAUGGUAAGUCCAAGUAUCGUUUUCCCAAGAGACUCACGACACAAAACUGUUGUGCUUUUGCUUAAUUAAUCAAGACUAUAAAAAUAAUAUUUUGGGAUUUUUAUAAAGUGCAGAAAAAUAAACAUGAAUGCAAUUUGAUCAAUUGAGGUUAAACACAAAACAAUGGAUGAAUGGAUGUUGUUGAGUACUAACAAUUUCAUCUAUUCCACUCUCUCUUACAUACUACCCUUGAAUAUUAGUUGAUUGAUUCAAUUGUUAUGCGACUUUCUUAGCCUCCCCUCAACCCGAUCCCUCGGCGAAAAGGGCCUAAUAUUAACUAUUGGCUUGCUAUCCCUAGCCUCCCCUUGUAAUUAAUACCACAUUAUAAACAGAAGUUAGCGCAAUUGAUCGUCCUACCCCUAUCCCUAGGUGGUAUUGCAAAAUCAAGAGAUUACUCACCAGUUUAUGUCAUUACUGUACGUCCCCAAAUCAAUAAAGACAAACAUCAAUAUACCGAAUGAGUUAAACGAUAAAGGCCUUAAGCACAGAUGAUAACCCAACAAUAAUCAAUCAAAACAUAUGGAGACCAUAUAAAUAAUCAAUAGUUUCAAUAAGAGAGAGUAUCAAAAGAUUACAUUGUUUUCCCCAACAACAAUAGGAUUUAGUUUACCAUCGUCAUGGAGAAACUAGGUGAAGAAUGGAAUGAAAGAGAUACAAACCCUAAAAAGGAGAAAAGGAGAGUUGUCACCAUCUCCAAAUCUACCCCAAAGAGGUGAAAAGUGUGUUUCUGUGCCUAAGCCAUCAAAAGAUACAAACCCUAAGACGUUCUGGCCUUUAAAUAGGGCAUAAAAAUGACAUAAAAAAAGUCCAAGCCCAAACAGAUCAUAAAAAAUAACAUAAAACAGGUCCAAGCCCAUCUGACAACCGCCCGGCGUCACAUUUCACCGCCGGGCGGUUCUGCGGGGUGAGGGAAACCGCUCAGCGCCACGGUCAACCGCCCGGCGCUGGUCAACUGCGUUCUGGUUGACUGUUGAAUUUUCUGGUUGACUGGUUGACUUUUCUGCAUAUCUUCAACCUUUCUUUCCUUUUCUUGAGUCUAAGACCUUCAUCUUCAACUCCAUUCUUUAUUUUUCUCA